rnacentral:miRNA from 10 species
AUUAGGUUGGUGCAAAAGUAAUUGCAGUUUUUGCAUUAUUUUUCACGGCAAAAACCACAAUUACUUUUGCAUCAACCUAAUA